rnacentral:rRNA from 1 species
GCCAUCAUUUAAAGAAAGCGUAAUAGCUCACUGGUCGAGUCGGCCUGCGCGGAAGAUGUAACGGGGCUAAACCAUGCACCGAAGCUGCGGCAGCAACAUUUCGAUGUUGUUGGGUAGGGGAGCGUUCUGUAAGCCGUUGAAGGUGGGCUGUGAGGCCUGCUGGAGGUAUCAGAAGUGCGAAUGCUGACAUAAGUAACGAUAAAGCGGGUGAAAAACCCGCUCGCCGGAAGACCAAGGGUUCCUGUCCAACGUUAAUCGGGGCAGGGUGAGUCGACCCCUAAGGCGAGGCUGAAAAGCGUAGUCGAUGGGCAACAGGUUAAUAUUCCUGUACUGGGUGUGACUGCGAAGGGGGGACGGAGAAGGCUAGGCCGGCCGGGCGACGGUAUGUCCCGGUUUAAGCGUGUAGGUGGAAUGACCAGGCAAAUCCGGUCAUUUGUUAACACUGAGGCGCGAUGACGAGGCACUACGGUGCUGAAGUGGUUGAUGCCCUGCUUCCAGGAAAAGCCUCUAAGCAUCAGGUCACACACAAUCGUACCCCAAACCGACACAGGUGGUCAGGUAGAGAAUACCCAGGCGCUUGAGAGAACUCGGGUGAAGGAACUAGGCAAAAUGGUGCCGUAACUUCGGGAGAAGGCACGCUGGCGUUAGGUGAAGUGGUUUACCCAUGGAGCCGAGGCCAGUCGCAGAUACCAGCUGGCUGCAACUGUUUAAUAAAAACACAGCACUGUGCAAACACGAAAGUGGACGUAUACGGUGUGACGCCUGCCCGGUGCUGGAAGGUUAAUUGAUGGGGUUAUCCUCCGGGAGAAGCUCUUGAUCGAAGCCCCAGUAAACGGCGGC